rnacentral:rRNA from 1 species
AAUCAACGCUGGCGGCGUGCCUAACACAUGCAAGUCGAACGCGAAAGUCCCGCAAGGGAUUAGUAGAGUGGCAAACGGGUGAGUAACACGUGGGUGACCUGCCUUCGAGUGGGGGAUAACGUCCCGAAAGGGACGCUAAUACCGCAUAACAUCCUGCCUUUUAAGAGGUGGAGAUCAAAGCUGGGGACCGUAAGGCCUGGGCGCUGGAAGAGGGGCCCGCGUCUGAUUAGCUAGNGGUGAGGUAAUGGCUCACCAAGGCGACGAUCAGUAGCUGGUCUGAGAGGAUGAUCAGCCACAUUGGGACUGAGACACGGCCCAAACUCCUACGGGAGGCAGCAGUGGGAAUAUUGACAAUGGGCGAAAGCCUGAUCCAGCCAUGCCGCGUGAGUGA